rnacentral:tRNA from 1 species
GGGCCCGUGGUAUACCGGCAACACGCUUCCAUGGCAUGGAAGAGUAAGGGGUUCAAUUCCCCUCGGGUCCACCA